rnacentral:rRNA from 1 species
GACGAACGCUGGCGGCGUGCCUAAUACAUGCAAGUCGAACGCUUCUUUCCUCCCGAUUGCUUGCACUCAAUUGGAAAGAGGAGUUGCGGACGGGUGAGUAACACGUGGGUAACCUACCCAUCAGAGGGGGAUAACACUUGGAAACAGGUGCUAAUACCGCAUAACAGUUUAUGCCGCAUGGCAUAAGAUUGAAAGGCGCUUUCGGGUGUCGCUGAUGGAUGGACCCGCGGUGCAUUAGCUAGUUGGUGAGGUAACGGCUCACCAAGGCGACGAUGAAUAGCCGACCUGAGAGAGUGAUCGGCCACACUGGGACUGAGACACGGCCCAGACUGCUACGGGAGGCAGCAGUAGGGAAUCUUCGGAAACGGCCGAAAGUCUGACCGAGCAACGCCGCGUGAGUGAAGAAGGUUUUCGGAUCGUAAAACUCUGUUGUUAGAGAAGAACAAGGACGUUAGUAACUGAACGUCCCCUGACGGUAUCUAACCAGAAAGCCACGGCUAACUACGUG